rnacentral:rRNA from 1 species
CUAUAUUAAAGUGAAACCGCGAAAGGCUCAUUAAAUCAGUUAUGGUUCCUUAGAUCGUACCACAAUUACUUGGAUAACUGUGGUAAUUCUAGAGCUAAUACAUGCAAACAGAGCUCUGACCGGAGACGGGAGGAGUGCUUUUAUUAGAUCAAAACCAAUCGGCGGCGGUAGCGUUUCGGCGUUAUCGUUCGUCGCUCAAUAUAUGGUGAAUCUGAAUAACUUUAUGCUGAUCGCAUGGUCUUGCACCGGCGACGCAUCUUUCAAAUGUCUGCCUUAUCAACUGUCGAUGGUAGGAUCUGCGCCUACCAUGGUUGUAACGGGUAACGGGGAAUCAGGGUUCGAUUCCGGAGAGGGAGCCUGAGAAACGGCUACCACAUCCAAGGAAGGCAGCAGGCGCGCAAAUUACCCACUCCCGGCACGGGGAGGUAGUGACGAAAAAUAACGAUACGGGACUCAUCCGAGGCCCCGUAAUCGGAAUGAGUACACUUUAAAUCCUUUAACAAGGACCAAUUGGAGGGCAAGUCUGGUGCCAGCAGCCGCGGUAAUUCCAGCUCCAAUAGCGUAUAUUAAAGUUGUUGCGGUUAAAAAGCUCGUAGUUGAAUUUGUGUCCCGCACUGUCGGUUCACCGCCCGCGGUGCUAACUGGCAUGUUUGCGGGACGUCCUGCCGGUGGGUGUUCAGUAGUGAUUGACUUUCGGGUCUUUUACUAUUUCAUCCGACUUUAUAAUCCUGUCGCGGUGCUCUUAAUUGAGUGUCGAGGCGGGCCGGCACGUUUACUUUGAACAAAUUAGAGUGCUCAAAGCAGGCUAAUUAAUGCCUGAAUAAUUAGUGCAUGGAAUAAUGGAACAGGACCUUGGUUCUAUUUUGUUGGUUUUCGGAAUUCCAAGGU